rnacentral:tRNA from 2 species
AAAUAAGAAAUGAUUAAUCAUAAUUGAUUUCGACUCAUUAAUAGAUAUUUUACUUUAUCCUUAUUUA